AUUGAACGCUGGCGGCAGGCCUAACACAUGCAAGUCGAGCGGAUGAAGGGAGCUUGCUCCUGGAUUCAGCGGCGGACGGAUGAGUAAUGCCUAGGAAUCUGCCUGGUAGUGGGGGGUAACGUCCGGAAACGGGCGCUAAUACCGCAUACGUCCUGAGGGAGAAAGUGGGGGAUCUUCGGACCUCACGCUAUCAGAUGAGCCUAGGUCGGAUUAGCUAGUUGGUGGGGUAAAGGCCUACCAAGGCGACGAUCCGUAACUGGUCUGAGAGGAUGAUCAGUCACACUGGAACUGAGACACGGUCCAGACUCCUACGGGAGGCAGCAGUGGGGAAUAUUGGACAAUGGGCGAAAGCCUGAUCCAGCCAUGCCGCGUGUGUGAAGAAGGUCUUCGGAUUGUAAAGCACUUUAAGUUGGGAGGAAGGGCAGUAAGUUAAUACCUUGCUGUUUUGACGUUACCAACAGAAUAAGCACCGGCUAACUUCGUG
rnacentral:rRNA from 1 species